GUCCCUGUAGCGCAAUGGAUAGCGUGUUGGACUUCUAUUCCAAAGGUCGUGGGUUCGAAUCCCACCUGAGAUG
rnacentral:tRNA from 1 species